rnacentral:rRNA from 1 species
AACGAACGCUGGCGGCAUGCCUAACACAUGCAAGUCGAACGAGACCUUCGGGUCUGGUGUCGCACGGGUUCGUAACGCGUGGAAACCUGCCCUUAAGCUCGCACUAACUCCCCGAAUGGGGUGCUAAUACCGGAUAUUAUAUUCGAUCCAAAGGUUUAUCGCCUUCGGUGGGGCGCGCGGUGGAUUAGCUUGUUGGUAGCGUAAGCGCCUACCAAGGCGACGAUCCGUAGCUGGUUUGAGAGGAUGAGCAGCCACACUGGGAGGGAGACACGGCCCAGACUCCUACGGGAGGCAGCAGUGGGGAAUAUUGGAAAAUGGGCGAAAGGCUGAUCCAGCAAGGCUGCGUGAGUGAUGAAGGUCUUAGGGUUGUAAAGCUCGUUUACCCGGGAUGAUGAUGACAGUACCGGGAGAAUAAGCACCGGCUAACUACGUG